GCCCAGCAUGGUGGCAUGUGCCUGUAGUUCCAGCUACUAGGGAGGCUGGGGUGGAAGGACUGCUUGAGCCCAGGAGCUCCGAACUGUAGUGCACUAUGCCAAUCGGGUGUCCGCACUAAGUUCGGCAUCAAUAUGGUGGCCUCCCUGGAGCAGGGAACCACCAGCUUGCCUAAGGAGGCACGAACCCGCCCAGGUCAGAAACGGAGCAGGUCAAAACUCCCAUGCUGAUCAGUAGUGGGAUGGCGCCUGUGAACAGCCACUGCACUCCAGCCUGGGCAACAUAGCGAGACCCCGACUCA
rnacentral:SRP_RNA from 1 species